UACAGGGGGGGCAAGCGUUGUUCGGAAUUACUGGGCGUAAAGGGCCAGUAGGCGGCCAACUAAGUCCGACGUGAAAUCCCAAAGCUUAACUUUGGAACUGCGUCGGAUACUGGAUGGCUUGAAUUCGGGAGAGGGAUGCAGAAUUCCAGGUGUAGCGGUGAAAUGCGUAGAUAUCAGGAAGAACACCCGUGGCGAAGGCGGCUCUCUGGGACGGUACUGACGCUGAGACGCGAAAGCGUGGGGAGCAAACAGG
rnacentral:rRNA from 1 species